CGUAGGGGGCGAGCGUUGUCCGGAAUUACUGGGCGUAAAGAGCAUGUAGGCGGGUAUUUAAGUCAGCUGUGAAAACUAUCGGCUCAACCGGUAGACUGCAGUUGAUACUGGAUAUCUUGAGGGUAUGAGAGGGCAGUGGAAUUCCUAGUGUAGCGGUGAAAUGCGUAGAUAUUAGGAGGAACACCAGUGGCGAAGGCGACUGCCUGGCAUACAACUGACGCUGAGAUGCGAAAGCGUGGGGAGCAAACAGGAUUAGAUACCCUGGUAGUCCACGCCGUAAACGAUGGGUACUAGGUGUAGGAGGUAUCGACCCCUUCUGUGCCGUAGUUAACACAUUAAGUACCCCGCCUGGGGAGUACGGCCGCAAGGUUG
rnacentral:rRNA from 1 species